UUCAUGUUCCUGUUUUACAUGUUAUAGAACAGAGAUUGAUUAAUGGCACAUGUCAUUACGUCCCCACACCACGCCAUCCGACGUUCCCUCCAGAAUUUCGAAAUACAGUUCGUCUUCGUUAUGGUACCGUAUACAGUUUUGGGUGUUUUUUAUUUAAAAUUUUACAAAAGCUUCAAGUGCAGUUAAUUAUUUGUCAUGCUAUACAUGCAAUUGGACGACUGCUUGAAGCCGUGGGCUGCGUCCAAAACCACGUACUUACCUGCUAUAUAGUAGCUGAGAUACAUGUAUUUCACCUACUAUAUGCAUGUAUUUCACCUACUAUUUAGUAGGUGAAAUACUUGUAUAUAGUAGGUGAAAUACUUGUAUAUAGCAGGUGAAAUACAUGUAUAUAGUAGGUGAAAUACACGUAUUUCGGCUACGAUAUAGUAGGUGAAAUACAUGUAUAUAGUAGAAUACAUGUAUAUAGUAGGUACAAUACAUGUAUAUAGUAGAAUACGUGUAUAUAAUAGGUACAAUACAUGUAUAUAGUAGAAUACGUGUAUAUAGUAGGUGAAAUACAUGUAAGUAAUAGGUGAAAUACAUGUAUAUAGUAGGUGAAACACACGUAUUUCAGCUACGAUAUAGUAGGUGAAAUACAUGUAUAUGGUAGAAUAUAUGUAUAUAGUAGGUGAAAUACAUGUAUACAGUAGGUGAAAUACAUGUAUAUAGUAGGUGAAAUACACGUAUAUAGUAGAAUACAUGUAUAUAGUAGGUGAAAUACUUGUAUAUAGUAGGUGAAAUAAAUGUAUAUAGUAGAAUACAUGUAUAUAGUAGGUGAAAUACAUGUAUAUAGUAGAAUACGUGUAUAUAGUAGGUGAAAUACAUGUAUAUAGUAGAAUACGUCUAUAUAGCAGGUGAAAUACAUGUAAAUAGUAGAAUACGUGUAUAUAGUAGGUGAAAUACAUGUUUAUAGUAGGUGAAAUACACGUAUUUCGGCUACGAUAUAGUAGGUGAAAUACAUGUAUAUGGUAGAAUACAUGUAUAUAGUUGGUGAAAUACAUGUAUAUAGUAGGUGAAUUACACGUAUUUCGGCUACGAUAUAGUAGUUGAAAUACGUGUAUAUAGUAGAAUACGUGUAUAUAGUAGGUGAAAUACAUGUAUAUAGUAGGUGAAAUACAUGUAUAUAGUAGAAUACAUGUAUAUAGUAGGUGAAAUACAUGUAUAUAGUAGGUGAAAUACUUGUAUAUUAGGUGAAAUACUUGUAUAUGCAAGCAUUUCACUUGCUAUAUACAAGUAUCUCGUCAGCAAAAACUUCCCCAUAUCAACAGAUACACGUUCUGUAAAGCCGUUUAUGUGGAGUGUCUAGCCUACAAAUCCCUGCGCAGAUUGUAUCUAAAGAAACAGUGACAAUCUACAGCAAUAAUAUAAACCUGUAAUUUGCCUUGUAGCCCGAGCUACUGUCAAAGCUGCGGUUAUAGAAAUAAAUCUCAACACCUUCCGACCAAUCGGAUUUGAGAUUUCGACAGGGCUAUAAUAAUGUAAUAAUAAUCAGGUUUCGUCGUGUGUCUUAGUAAUGAUAUAUCGACUCAGCCCUAGUUCGGUUUUCCGUUUUCGUUUAAUGCUCUUAGCAUACCAGUGUGGUUCAUUAUAAUGUGCCAUCCAAACACUGUCAUAAAGUUUUUGGCUAUGGAUGGCUCACAGCACUGGGAAGUGAUGUGUAUGUGUGUGUGUGUGUAUGUGUGUGUGUGUGUGUGUUAAUUAGAGGUCGUGCAGGGAGAGAGGCUUGAGAUUCCACACACUCAAGGCCUCUGAAUCAAACAACCUGGUGCUUUUUGGUGGUUUUUUUUGCACUUUCAUGCCAACUGGUAUCAAUCCAGCACCAGUGGAGCAAAAUGCUCAGGACACGGUCUUUAUAAUGAGGUGUAGUUGCACACUGAGUCACCA
ensembl:lncRNA